rnacentral:rRNA from 1 species
GACGAACGCUGGCGGCGUGCUUAACACAUGCAAGUCGAACGGAAAGGCCCUGCUUGCAGGGUGCUCGAGUGGCGAACGGGUGAGUAACACGUGGGUGAUCUGCCCCUUACUUUGGGAUAAGCCUGGGAAACUGGGUCUAAUACUGGAUAGGACCAUGCUGUAGGUGGUGUGGUGGAAAGAUUAGUUUCGGUAAGGGAUGAGCUCGCGGCCUAUCAGCUUGUUGGUGGGGUAAUGGCCUACCAAGGCGUCGACGGGUAGCCGGCCUGAGAGGGUGGACGGCCACAUUGGGACUGAGAUACGGCCCAGACGCCUACGGGAGGCAGCAGUGGGGAAUAUGGCACAAUGGGCGCAAGCCUGAUGCAGCGACGCCGCGUGGGGGAUGACGGCCUUCGGGUUGUAAGCUCCUUACGGCCUUGACGAAGCCCUUGUGGUGACGGUAGUGGUAGAAGAAGCACCGGCUAACUACGUG